rnacentral:rRNA from 1 species
AGUCGANCGGGAAUCUUCGGAUUCUAGUGGCGGACGGGUGAGUAACGCGUAAGAAUCUAACUUCAGGACGGGGACAACAGUUGGAAACGACUGCUAAUACCCGAUGUGCCGCAAGGUGAAACCUAAUUGGCCUGAAGAAGAGCUUGCGUCUGAUUAGCUAGUUGGUGGGGUAAGAGCCUACCAAGGCGACGAUCAGUAGCUGGUCUGAGAGGAUGAGCAGCCACACUGGGACUGAGACACGGCCCAGACUCCUACGGGAGGCAGCAGUGGGGAAUUUUCCGCAAUGGGCGAAAGCCUGACGGAGCAACGCCGCGUGAGGGAGGAAGGUCUUUGGAUUGUAAACCUCUUUUCUCAAGGAAGAAGUUCUGACGGUACUUGAGGAAUCAGCCUCGGCUAACUCCGUGCCAGCAGCCGCGGUAAUACGGGGGAGGCAAGCGUUAUCCGGAAUUAUUGGGCGUAAAGCGUCCGCAGGUGGUCAGCCAAGUCUGCCGUCAAAUCAGGUUGCUUAACGACCUAAAGGCGGUGGAAACUGGCAGACUAGAGAGCAGUAGGGGUAGCAGGAAUUCCCAGUGUAGCGGUGAAAUGCGUAGAGAUUGGGAAGAACAUCGGUGGCGAAAGCGUGCUACUGGGCUGUAUCUGACACUCAGGGACGAAAGCUAGGGGAGCGAAAGGGAUUAGAUACCCCUGUAGUCCUGGCCGUAAACGAUGGAUACUAGGCGUGGCUUGUAUCGACCCGAGCCGUGCCGAAGCUAACGCGUUAAGUAUCCCGCCUGGGGAGUACGCACGCAAGUGUGAAACUCAGANGAAUUGACGGGGGCCCGCACAAGCGGUGGAGUAUGUGGUUUAAUUCGAUGCAACGCGAAGAACCUUACCAAGACUUGACAUGUCGCGAACCCUGGNGAAAGUUGGGGGUGCCUUCGGGAGCGCGAA